UACGGAGGGGGCGAGCGUUAUUCGGAAUUAUUGGGCGUAAAGGGCGUGUAGGCGGCUUGUUAAGUCAGCGGUGAAAUCCCUCGGCUCAACUGAGGAAUUGCCUUUGAAACUGUCUGGCUCGAGGCCGGGAGGGGGUAGCGGAAUUCCCAGUGUAGCGGUGAAAUGCGUAGAUAUUGGGAGGAACACCGGUGGCGAAGGCGGCUACCUGGACCAGUUUUGACGCUGAUGCGCGAAAGCGUGGGGAGCAAACAGG
rnacentral:rRNA from 1 species